rnacentral:rRNA from 1 species
UGAGUAAUGUCUGGGGAUCUGCCCGAUAGAGGGGGAUAACCACUGGAAACGGUGGCUAAUACCGCAUAACGUCGCACGACCAAAGAGGGGGACCUUCGGGCCUCUCACUAUCGGAUGAACCCAGAUGGGAUUAGCUAGUAGGCGGGGUAAUGGCCCACCUAGGCGACGAUCCCUAGCUGGUCUGAGAGGAUGACCAGCCACACUGGAACUGAGACACGGUCCAGACUCCUACGGGAGGCAGCAGUGGGGAAUAUUGCACAAUGGGCGCAAGCCUGAUGCAGCCAUGCCGCGUGUAUGAAGAAGGCCUUCGGGUUGUAAAGUACUUUCAGCGGGGAGGAAGGCGAUGGGGUUAAUAACCUUAUCGAUUGACGUUACCCGCAGAAGAAGCACCGGCUAACUCCGUGCCAGCAGCCGC